rnacentral:rRNA from 1 species
AUAAAUAACCGGGGGAAAAGAAACCACCAGGGAUCCCCCCAGUAGCGGCGAGCGAACAGGGAAGAGCCCAGCGCCGAAUUCCGCGUCCCAAAGGGCGUUUGGAACAUGUGGCGUUUAGGAGGAAUCUCUCCGAGGGCAGACGGUGUCGCAAGUCCCCCUGAACGGGGCUGUGAUCCAGAGCGGGUGCGAGGCCCAUAGCUGGUACCGUCUCCUUCGGGUGUCGCCUCCUUGGAGUCGGGUUGCUUGGGAGUGCAGCCCUAAUUGGGUGGUAAACUCCACCUAAGGCUAAAUACGUCCGUGAGACCGAUAGCAAACAAGUACCGUGAGGGAAAGUUGCAAAGAACUUUGAAGAGAGAGUUCAAGAGUACGUGAAACCGCUCAGAGGCAAACGGGUGGGCCCACGAAAGCCGAAGGCGGGGGGAUUCAGUCGAGAGGACGGUGGGGCAGGAUUGGCUGGUCGGACGGACCGUGCCAGGCCGGGUCAGUUCCCGAGAUCCUCCGCCUUUCGACGCAUUUCCCUCUGCUUAGUAGGACGCCGCAACCGGUUGGCGCUGCAGCCAUAAGGGCGAGUAACCGGAAGGUAGCCAGCGAGCUCUUCUUCGGAGGCGCGAGCUGGUCCUAAGCCGACUCUCCUGGUGCUUGUGGCCCGACCGUGGUCGUGAGUCCCUGAACGGGAUGUUGCCGAGCCCUCUGACCGGAGCGGGAGACAUGGCAGGCUGCUUUCUGCGAAAAAAAAUCGGUUGCUUCACACGUGCAGUGGGCGACCUCCAGAGGCAGCUGCUGGUGCGUUUCCUCCUGCUGGGCACAGGCAGUUGGCGGCGAGUAGGGUCGGUCACCCACCCGACCCCCAAGGAGUCUAACAUGUGCGCGAGUCAUUGGGUCUUGAACAAGCCCAAAGGCGCAAUGAAAGUGAAGACCAGCACUGAAGCUGGUGGAGUUGGGAAACCGCGUCGCUGAAGGCGCGGUUGCACCAACGGCCCGUCCCGUCCGCAUUGUCGGUGGGGCGGAGCGAGAGCGUACACGUUGGGACCCGAAAGAUGGUGAACUAUGCCUGGGCAGGACGAAGCCAGAGGAAACUCUGGUGGAGGUCCGCAGCGGUUCUGACGUGCAAAUCGAUCGUCAGACCCGGGUAUAGGGGCGAAAGACUAAUCGAACCAUCUAGUAGCUGGUUCCCUCCGAAGUUUCCCUCAGGAUAGCUGGCGUUCGAGGGAGAUCAGUCUCAUCCGGUAAAGCGAAUGAUUAGAGGCCUUGGGGCCGAAACGACCUCAACCUAUUCUCAAACUUUAAAUGGGUGAGAAGUCCGGCUUGCCUGACCGAAGCCCGGACGAAAGGAUGAGAGCGCCCAGUGGGCCACUUUUG